GUGGCGCUGGAACAGGGACUUGAAGUCGGGAAGGAUUCCUCCCGAGGGAAACACUGAACGUGAAGACAGCGAGCGAUGAUCAAAAAUCCACCCUGUGUGAGAAACACCAUUCACAUACCCCUUCAGUGCAACACCCACAGGUCUGGUGGAAGGCGCCAGAAGGUGGUCCAUGCGAAGGGCCGACCCCCUCUACCAACCUGGGUGACUGCUACUGCUGUUGCAACCACUGCCCUGGUAUCGACCGUGCAGACACAGCACCUUGUCAAUGACUAGUCUGCAGAUUCAGCCUCAGAUCAAGGAGAUAGUCCCCUGAGACUCAUCGUUAUUGACCACGAUGGCCCUGCAGUCAAGACAAAAAGGGGGUGAUGUUGCAGCCUGGCGGAGCAGAGACCAGAACCUGCCCCAUGACUGGAGGGUGCAGCAUAUCGCACCCUGUGAUUGUCCUAGUGAGCGAGCCGAAGGGACAUACUCUCUGCUCCGC
ensembl:lncRNA